rnacentral:rRNA from 15 species
AAACUAUAUUAACCGUACCAAACCAACUCAGGUAGGCUAGUUGAGUAUACUCAGGUGAUCGGGUAAACGGUGCUUAAGGAACUCGGCAAAUUGACUCUGUAACUUUGGGAUGAGGAGUGCCUUUAUGAAUAAAGGUGUAAUACACAAGGAAGCGGCGACUGUUUAUUAAAAACACAGGACUCUGCUAAGUGCAUAAACACGAUGUAUUGGGUCUGACGCCUGCCCGGUGCCAUUGGGUGAAAACGAUGCGUAUUGUGCGUUAAGUAUAAACCUCGGUAAACGGCGGCUGUAACUCUGACGGUCCUAAGGUAGCGAAAUUCCUUGGCGGGUAAGUUCCGUCCUGCAUGAAUGGCGUAACGACCGCUUCACUGUCUCAAGCAUCGGCCCGGUGAAAUUGAAUUCCUCGUGAAGAUGCGGGGGUAUCAUGGCUAGACGGAAAGACCCUGUGCACCUUUACUAUAACCUUUCAUCGGUUACUUGUUUUUUUAGUUCAGUAUAAGCGGGAGGUUCUACUGACUUGAAUAUAUUAUAUAAUUGAGUUCUAGUUGCCAUUAGUGAGAUACCGCUCUAAUCCUACAAUAGCUUAAAGUAAGGUUGGUAGUUUGGCUGGGGUGGCCGCCUCCUAAAGAGUAACGGGGGUGCGCAAUGGUAAGCUCUAUUCGAUUUUUGAGGUAAGAGCGCAAUGGUAUAAGUUUGCUUGACUGAGAGAUUGACAAAUCAAUCAGGGACGAAAGUCGGUCAUAGUGACCCGACGGUGCUGUCUGGUAAGGCCGUCGAUCAACGGAUAAAAGGUACGCCAGGGAUAACAGGCUAAUAACCCUUAAGAGACCACAUCGCCGGGGUUGUUUGGCACCUCGAUGUCGGCUCAUCGCAUCCUGGAGCUGUAG